GCGCGUAGGCGGUUUGUUAAGUCGGAUGUGAAAGCCCUGGGCUCAACCUGGGAACUGCAUUCGAUACUGGCAAACUAGAGUGCGAGAGAGGGAGGUAGAAUUCCAUGUGUAGCGGUGAAAUGCGUAGAUAUGUGGAGGAAUACCGGUGGCGAAGGCGGCCUCCUGGCUCGACACUGACGCUGAGGUGC
rnacentral:ncRNA from 1 species